rnacentral:rRNA from 1 species
AGAGUUUGAUCCUGGCUCAGAACGAACGUUAGCGGUGUGGAUUAGGCAUGCAAGUCGUGCGCGAAAGCCUUCGGGCGAGUAAAGCGGCGAAAGGGUGAGUAACACGUAAUCAACCUACCCCCCAGAUCGGAAUAACCACUGGAAACGGUGGGUAAUGCCGAAUGGUCCUCCUGGGUGGCAUCAUCCGGGUGGUAAACGGUGGCUUCGGCUGCUGCUGGAGGAGGGGGUUGCGGCCUAUUAGCUUGUUGGUGGGGUAACGGCCUACCAAGGCGAUGAUGGGUAGCGGGUCUGAGAGGAUGAUCCGUCACACUGGGACUGAGACACUGCCCAGACUCCUACGGGAGGCUGCAGUCGAGAAUCUUCCGCAAUGGGCGAAAGCCUGACGGAGCGACACCGCGUGCAGGAUGAAGGCCUUCGGGUUGUAAACUGCUGUCACGCUAUAGGAAUGCCUUGUCGUUAAUAGCUGCAAGGUUGACCAAAGCGAAAGGAAGCACCGGCUAACUCCGUGCCAGCAGCCGCGGUAAUACGGAGGAUGCGAGCGUUAUCCGGAUUCAUUGGGUUUAAAGGGUGCGUAGGCGGAAGUCUAAGUCAGUGGUGAAAUCCUGCAGCUUAACUGUAGA